GGUUCUUUAGCUCAGUAGGCAGAGCAAUCGGUUGAAGCCCGAUGCGCAUCGGUUCGAUUCCGAUAGGAGCCACCA
rnacentral:tRNA from 1 species